ACAGAUAUCAUUGAAAGCAAUGGUUUGAUGUAGACCUCCCGUGGGUUCCCCACGUUCGGGGGGUGUGGCCUUGGCCAACCACCCACGGAAGCAACAGAUAAGAUACACAGAUGGGUGUCAUAAUACGCGCUGGGAGCACCUAUCACUUUUAAUGAUCCUUCCGCAGGUUCACCUACGGAAACCUUGUCACGACUUUUACUUCCUCUAAAUGACCAAGA
rnacentral:misc_RNA from 1 species